rnacentral:rRNA from 1 species
UGGGGAAUAUUGGACAAUGGGGGCAACCCUGAUCCAGCAAUGCCGCGUGUGUGAAGAAGGCCUUCGGGUUGUAAAGCACUUUAGGUGGGGAGGAACGUCUCAUAUUUAAUAGAUAUGAGGGUGACGUUACCCACAGAAUAAGCACCGGCUAACUCUGUGCCAGCAGCCGCGGUAAUACAGAGGGUGCGAGCGUUAAUCGGAAUUACUGGGCGUAAAGGGCGCGUAGGUGGUUAGGUAAGUUGUUUGUGAAAUCCCUGGGCUCAACCUAGGAAUUGCAGGCAAGACUGUUUAACUAGAGUACGGUAGAGGGAAGUGGAAUUUCCGGUGUAGCGGUGAAAUGCGUAGAUAUCGGAAGGAACACCAGUGGCGAAGGCGGCUUCCUGGACUGAUACUGACACUGAGGCGCGAGAGCGUGGGGAGCGAACAGGAUUAGAUACCCGCGUAGUCC